CGCAUCUUGCGCCCCUUGGUAUUCUGAGGGGCAUGCCUGUUUGAGUGUCAUUUAAUUCUCAACUCUAAGCAUCUUUGCUGAUGAUUAGACUUGGAUCUGGAGGCUUAUGCAGACCUUUGUGGUCAGCUCCUCUUAAAUGCAUUAGUGGUGCCGUUGUGGAUUCAACCGACUAUUGGUGUGAUAACUAUCUACGCCAUGUGUCGUGCCACAUAUAAAGUGCUAUACUGCUCUCUAACUGUCUAUUGCUAUAGACAAAUUUGACCAACUUGACCUCAAAUCAGGUAGGACUACCCGCUGAACUUAA
rnacentral:misc_RNA from 1 species